UGGGGAAUAUUGCGCAAUGGGGGAAACCCUGACGCAGCAACGCCGCGUGAGUGAUGAAGGUCUUCGGAUCGUAAAGCUCUGUCGGCAGGAAAGAUGGACAGGUCAGCUAACAUCUGAUCGGUCUGACGGUACCUGCAAAGGAAGCACCGGCUAACUCUGUGCCAGCAGCCGCGGUAAUACAGAGGGUGCAAGCGUUGUUCGGAAUCAUUGGGCGUAAAGGGCGCGUAGGCGGUCCCACAAGUCGAAUGUGAAAGCCCAGGGCUCAACCUUGGAAGUGCAUUCGAAACUAGGGGACUCGAGUCUCGGAGAGGGUGGUGGAAUUCCCAGUGUAGAGGUGAAAUUCGUAGAUAUUGGGAGGAACACCGGUGGCGAAGGCGACCACCUGGACGAAGACUGACGCUGAGGCGCGAAAGCGUGGGGAGCAAACAGGAUUAGAUACCCCGGUAGUCC
rnacentral:rRNA from 1 species